CAGCAGCCGCGGGAAUACGAAGGGUGCAAGCGUUACUCGGAAUUACUGGGCGUAAAGCGUGCGUAGGUGGUGGUUUAAGUCCGUUGUGAAAGCCCUGGGCUCAACCUGGGAAUUGCAGUGGAUACUGGGUCACUAGAGUGUGGUAGAGGAUAGUGGAAUCUCCGGUGUAGCAGUGAAAUGCGUAGAGAUCGGAAGGAACAUCUGUGGCGAAGGCGACUAUCUGGGCCAACACUGACACUGAGGCACGAAAGCGUGGGGAGCAAACAGGAUUAGAUACCCCGGUAGUCCCUGUCUCUUAUAC
rnacentral:rRNA from 1 species